rnacentral:rRNA from 1 species
GGAAUCUUGGUCAAUGGGGGAAACCCUGAACCAGCAACGCCGCGUGAGGGAUGAAGGCCCUCGGGUCGUAAACCUCUGUCGGAAGGGAAGAAAGUAUUCCGGGCCAAUACCCCGGAGUAUCGACGGUACCUUCAAAGGCAGCGCCGCCUAACUCCGUGCCAGCAGCCGCGGUAAUACGGAGGGCGCGAGCGUUAUGCGGAAUCAUCGGGCGUAAAGCGCGUGUAGGCGGCUGGGUAAGUCGGGUGUGAAAGCCCGGGGCUCAACCCCGGAAUUGCAUUCGAAACUACCUGGCUGGAGUCUCGGAGAGGAGGGCGGAAUUCCCGGUGUAGAGGUGAAAUUCGUAGAUAUCGGGAGGAACACCAGUGGCGAAGGCGGCCCUCUGGACGAUGACUGACGCUGAGACGCGAAAGCGUGGGGAGCAAAC